rnacentral:rRNA from 1 species
GACGAACGCUGGCGGCGUGCUUAACACAUGCAAGUCGAACGGAAAGGCCCUUUCGGGGGUACUCGAGUGGCGAACGGGUGAGUAACACGUGGGUGAUCUGCCCUGCACUUUGGGAUAAGCCUGGGAAACUGGGUCUAAUACCGGAUAGGACUACGCGAUGCAUGCCGGGUGGUGGAAGGCUUUUGCGGUGUGGGAGGGGCCCGCGGCCUAUCAGCUGGUUGGUGGGGUGAUGGCUUACCAAGGCGACGACGGGUAGCCGGCCUGAGAGGGUGACCGGCCACACUGGGACUGAGAUACGGCCCAGACUCCUACGGGAGGCAGCAGUGGGGAAUAUUGCACAAUGGGCGCAAGCCUGAUGCAGCGACGCCGCGUGAGGGAUGACGGCCUUCGGGUUGUAAACCUCUUUCAGUGCCGACGAAGCGCAAGUGACGGUAGGCAUAGAAGAAGGACCGGCCAACUACGUGCCAGCAGCCGCGGUAACAC